UCCGCUUCGGCAGGCGGUUUGGGCGGGCUUGCUUGGGCCGGCAGAGGGCGCGGGUCUCGGGGCUCGUCCCGCGGCUCCGGGCAGGCGCGCGGAUGGCGUUUCUAAGGUGACGCUGCGCACAGCGACUUUCUCCGGGGGCGGAGGAAACACCUAUGAUCCCGUCGACGACCUUCAUCUCCGGGCGCCAGAACAUCGGGUCAGAAGUUGAGAUUUCCACUAUCGAGAAGCAACGGAAAGAGCUGCAGCUGCUCAUUGGCGAAUUAAAAGACCGUGAUAAGGAGCUCAAUGAUAUGGUCGCGGUACACCAGAGACAGCUCCUGUCGUGGGAGGAGGACCGGCAGAAAGUGUUGACUUUGGAAGAGCGCUGCAGCAAAUUGGAAGGUGAACUGCACAAAAGAACUGAAAUAAUCAGGUCACUCACGAAGAAGGUAAAAACCCUUGAGUCUAAUCAAACUGAAUGCCAAACAGCUCUUCAGAGGACUCAACUACAGCUUCAGGAAAUGGCUCAAAAGGCGACCCAUUCCUCUCUCCUCUCUGAAGACCUUGAGGCUAGAAACGAAAAUCUCAGCAACACGUUAGUGGAACUUUCUGCUCAAGUAGGACAGUUACAAGCUCGAGAACAGGCUCUCACUACAAUGAUAAAGCUAAAGGACAAAGAUAUCAUUGAGGCAGUCAAUCACAUUGCAGACUGUUCGGGCAAAUUUAAACUGUUAGAGCAUGCUUUGCGCGACGCUAAGAUGGUGGAGACUUGUGUUGUGAAAGAAAAGCAAGAUUGUAAGCUGAAAUUGAAGACACUGAAGAUUGAAAUCAAUAAACUGAAAGAGGAUCUUAAUGAAAAGACAACAGAAAAUAAUGAACAACGAGAAGAGAUCAUUCGCCUCAAGCAAGAGAAAAGUUGCCUGCAUGAUGAAUUGGUUUUUACUGCAGAGAGAGAAAAAAGGAAAGAUGAGUUACUUGAUAUUGCAAAGUCAAAGCAAGAACGUAUAAACGCAGAACUGCAUAAUCUGAGACAGAUUUAUGUAAAACAACAGAGUGAUCUGCAGUUCUGAAUUUCAAUGUGGAAAAUUCUCAGGAAUUAUUACAGAUAUAUGACUCAAAGAUGGAGGAAUCAAAGGCCCUGGAAUCCAGCAGAGACAUGUAUUUAUCAGACCUUGAGAAUGACCACCCCAAAGUCAAUGUUCAGAGGGAGAAAAAUCUGAAGUCACUGGUGAAGGACCAAAAAUUCGAGACAAUGUUGGUUCAGCAAAAUUGGGCUGACAA